CUCUCAGGAGUAUAGCAUCGUGAUCGAGCAACUCUCCAAUGGUAAGUGGGUCCCCUUUGACGGAGAUGACAUUCAGCUGGAGUUUGUACGCAUUGACCCCUUCGUGAGGACCUUCCUGAAGAGGAAGGGUGGCAAGUACAGUGUCCAGUUCAAGCUGCCGGACGUGUAUGGCGUGUUCCAGUUUAAAGUGGAUUACAACCGGCUAGGCUACACCCACCUGUACUCCUCCACCCAGGUGUCGGUGAGGCCACUCCAGCACACGCAGUAUGAGCGCUUCAUUCCCUCGGCCUAUCCCUACUACGCCAGCGCCUUCUCCAUGAUGGCUGGGCUCUUCCUCUUUAGCGUCGUCUUCUUGCACAUGAAGGAGAAGGAGAAGUCUGAUUGAGCCAGAACCUGGGACACCGCACAGCAGACAGCCAGACUUGACUGGAGUGGGUUGGUUGGGGUCUGUUUUGUUUAAGGCCAUAGGAAAAUGGUGCAGCCUUACCUCAGAGGGUAUGACUAUGGGGCGGGAGACAGGGAACAUUUCUUUCUGUAAGUUUUCAAGUUCGAAUCACUCUGUGGCACUUUUAAUAUGUACAGCCACCCCCAUUUCUAAAAUAAAGAGAACUACUGCCCUCACCUGUCACCCGGCCCCGUGACACUGACUAUGGCAGGGCUGUAGCCUAGGGAUACUGUGCCUGAACCUCCGUGUCCUCAGCUCUCCUCAUGGGGAGGGAAUGAGGGGAUCACACCAUGGAUCAGACGGACAGAGCUGGCCAAGAAUUGCUGGAGAUACCCAAGAGGGACCGCAGAGACGACUUGGCUAAAAGCACGGCUUCCUCUUGGCAAAGGACCCAGGUUAAAGUCCCAGCACCCACAUGGCAGCUCACAACCGUCUCUAACUUUGGUCUGUGAAGAUCUGAUGCCCUUUCCUGGGCUCCCAGGAGACCAGGCAUUCAGCUGAUACAUCAUAUGUUGCAGACAAAACACGACAUGCAUAAAAUAAAAACUCCUGUGUGUGUGUUCACUGGCUUUA
rnacentral:lncRNA from 1 species